AACUCAUGUCUUUUCUGAAACACAAGAAUUAACUCAAACACAUCUAUAUCUAUAUAUAAUUAUAUAUAUCUACACCAAAAGUUUAAAUCGCAAUUUCUCAUUAUGAAUCUCUCAUGAAUCUUUCGGUUUAUUAAACCCUAGAUCUCCGUAAAAUCACAUUUUUCUGCAGAGGAGUGCACUUUGGUGAUGAAUUAAUCGACUUCUACGUAGCCUCGAGCAACUUUGUAAGUUGUUCCGCAAUUGCUUGAUAUCGAGUGGACGAACUGGCAUCAUGACAUCAAAGGAAGAAGAUGUUCCCGUGGAAGUGGAGGAUACUAAUUCGGCAUUGAUAGUGGUACAGUACAGGGAUAUGGCCAACUGGUGAAACAAAUGACCAACUUGCGAGUCAUGCCAGACGUCUUAAAAGUCUACAGAUUCAUUGGUAGGAUCUUUGAACCUAAUGAAAGUGAGUAUAUGCAGAAGUUGAAGAUGUGGAUGCAUUAGUUGUUGAGACGGCCCGGGUAAGAAAGUCAAGCCUAUGCAAGUUUGUAAGGUACAUGGUUCUCAUUGUCGUGUUAUUUCCAACUAGCAGACCGGGUAAGAAAGUCAAGCCUAUGCAAGUUUGUAAAGUACAUGGUUCUCAUUGUCGUGUUAUUUCCAACUAGCAGACCGGAUCCUGAUCUUAAUAAAAAACUUUGUCCCAUUAAUAAUAGUAAGAAUUUGUUUGGUCCAUUGCUAAAGCUUUAAUUGGGAUUUUUGCUGCAGUUUCUUUAGAUUCUCUGGCUUUGGCCGAGUCUCGGACUUAUGAGGUCUUUGUUACAUCAUCUUUCCUUGAAGAUCCUAAGAACCAAAACAGCUGGCAUUAUCAAUUGUCCUCGGCAUUUCAUAGAGACAAAGUAAAAGAAUUGCUUAGUCCAGUGGUUUGAUUAAGUUUUCUAGGGGACAUCACACAUGUAUUCAGUGAAUGCUUCACAAAAGGCAUCCAAUUAAUAUUAUAUGAGGUUUGCAUACAUGUUUGUCAUUCAUUAUUUUGACCAUUUAAUCUUACGCUUUUGAAUAUAUUUUAGUAUAUGAAAAGUUCAUGAACUUUAUAAACUUUUUAGUUUGCAGGGAUCUUUAGCAAGUUCGAGAAGAUUACAUCGCAACUCAAAGAUUUAGUAGUUGCAAUGUGGAUUAAUAUCACUUGAAACUUAGUUUGUUUAUAGCUCAUAGAAUUCAUGAAUUGUUAAUCAUUCUGUACUGGUGACUACUACUAGUUUGUAUAUAAAUGUGAAUCUUAUCUUUAUUAUUUUCUUGCAAAUAAACAAGAUGUUUCUUAA